UGGGGAAUUUUGGACAAUGGGCGAAAGCCUGAUCCAGCAAUGCCGCGUGUGUGAAGAAGGCCUUCGGGUUGUAAAGCACUUUUGUCCGGAAAGAAAUCCUUGGCUCUAAUACAGUCGGGGGAUGACGGUACCGGAAGAAUAAGCACCGGCUAACUACGUGCCAGCAGCCGCGGUAAUACGUAGGGUGCAAGCGUUAAUCGGAAUUACUGGGCGUAAAGCGUGCGCAGGCGGUUUGCUAAGACCGAUGUGAAAUCCCCGGGCUCAACCUGGGAACUGCAUUGGUGACUGGCAGGCUAGAGUAUGGCAGAGGGGGGUAGAAUUCCACGUGUAGCAGUGAAAUGCGUAGAGAUGUGGAGGAAUACCGAUGGCGAAGGCAGCCCCUGGGCCAAGUACUGACGCUCAUGCACGAAAGCGUGGGGAGCAAACAGGAUUAGAUACCCUGGUAGUCCACGCCCUAAACGAUGUCAACUAGUUGUUGGGGAUUCAUUUCCUUAGUAACGUAGCUAACGCGUGAAGUUGACCGCCUGGGGAGUACGGUCGCAAGAUUAAAACUUAAAUGAAUUGACGGGGUCAUAGCUGUUUCCU
rnacentral:rRNA from 1 species